CUCUUUUCCACACCGCCAAAAAGCCCCAAUUUUCCCAUCAGUGUUUGUUAAGCAAACCCUAAAUGAGAAGAAUUUCUGUUUCUGUUUUUGAAAAAUUAAAAAGGGUUUGAAUCGUUCAUGGAUUACUUCAGGUUUCUCCCACUGGAAAUUAUAUUAGACAUUUUGACUCGCUUACCAUCCGAGUCAGUUUUGGAAUCCAAAUUGGUAUGCACAAACUGGAGACGGGUUGUUUCUCGUCCAUCAUUUUUGAAGAUGCACUCACAUAAUUUCAAUCAUCCUUCUGUAGAUGAUGAUUCUGGUAUGUUAGGUUUUCUUGCUUUGACUGAUGACCAAAAGUUUUACUAUUUUAAGUAUAAUGAUAAUCAUCAUGAUCUGUCGAGAGUUAGAAGAAUUAAUUUCACCCCUCCAUUUAAGAGUACUAGCUUCGUUGGUUCGUAUAAUGGUUUGAUCUGUCUUGCUGGAGGCCCGGCUGUUUGGAUUUGUAACCCUAUUACCAGAGAAUAUGUUAUGCUUCCAGAAAUUAUUAAGAGAGAAUCUUGUGAUUUUGAACCGUAUCAUAUUCAUGGGACAUGCAGCUUUGGUUUUGUUUCUUCAACCAAUGAAUACGAAGUUUUAAGAAUAUAUUUGCAGAAACGGAAUUCUCUAGAAAUUCACAUUUAACUAGGCAGUGGCGACGGAUGGAGAAACCUUGGAAACUGCAAUUCCAAGUUCAGUAUCUGUGACUAUAAUUGGGAGGUGCCUGGUAUGUUUGCCAGUGGAGCACUUCAUUGGCUGGAUGAUGGAUUAAAAAUGAUUGCUAACUUUGAUUUGGCUGAGGAAAAGUUCAGUGACCAUCUUUCACCACCUCCUUUGCCACAAGAGGCUACCUGGUGGAGUUGUACGAUAGGGGUUUUUGAUGGUUUUUUGGUUUUUGGUAUUCCUCCUAAUAUCGAAGAAGCUGAAUGUUAUGACAUAUGGAUACUAAAGAAGACGUAUGAUAAUCAUGACAUGAAAGAGCGAGGAGAACAUCAAUCAUGGGUUUGGAGUAAAGAGUUUACGGUUGACAGCGUAACUGUAUUAUUAGCUGUUACGAAGAGUGAUGGUAUUUUGAUUUGCAAUGGUAACUGUCUCUUCGUUCACGACACAAAAGCUUCAACCUCGAAAAUGCUUGUGGAUUUUAAGGAAGGGAUUCGUGAAGUAUUCCCUCACAAGAACACUUUAAUUUCAUUGAAAGAAUUAGGGGAAGAAGAUACAAAAACAAUGGAGUCAGUUGAAGUGGAGGAGACAGAAAGCCAUGAUUAGCCUAUUAAGCAACUAUGGAGGAUGCAAACCCUGAUCCCGCUCUUAUAAACUGAUUCGUCUCAUGUCUAAAAUGGCUGUGGCUUGUCAAAAAUAUGGUAGCUAAUACAUUAUAUAGGAGGGAAAUCACUCUGCAGAUAGGAAAGACAUGACAGAUUCAAAGACUGCAAGAAUAGCUGCUUCAACUUCUGUUAGGAGGCUGGCAUCAGCAACAACAUCAUUGUUUUUGUUGGUGUUUCUCUUAAGAUCUGAAAGGCAUUUUUGGAUGACUUUGCAGAUUUUCUUUCUUGAGCUCACAUAUGCGUCAAAUUCGUUUGAUCGCCUUCGAAUAGAUGACUGAAGAUCCUGGGCAGAUUGCUUCAUUCGAGACAAAACAUCCUUAACAUGACAGAUCUUUCCGAGACCGCGUUUAAGCAUUUUCCAUCUUCGGUAAGAAGGAAAUCCUCAACAGAUUCAUACAAGUCCUUUAGAGCAACCAAGUUGUUGGAAAUAGAUGAGGUGAGAUCUGAGAUCUCAAUUUGCACAUUGUUCCUCAACUGCAGAAGUGAGAGGGUUAGAUCUGGUGGGCAAACUGUUUGAACGAGCAUGGUUAGCAAUUUUGCUUGAGGAAGCCAUCUUUACUUUCGUUAGCAGAGGAAGAUGAAGAAGUGAAUUUAGUUUUUGGUGAUGAAAGCUUUACCUGUAUUGCGCUUAUAUAUACAAAGCUAAAGGGGACAUGAGGAAUCUUAUUAACGCUCUCAUGGUCACUUCUGUCGGGUUGUCAUGUGUUGGACUUUCAGCUUUUAACGCCCAUGUCUGCAGGUUGUUGCAAUUUUCAGAGACAUACAAUAUAUAUAGGAAGGAAAAUCGCUAUGCAGGUCAGCCUCUUUGACACAAGUAAGAAAUAUUUAAGGCUUUAAGCCAAUUGAGGCAUAACAUACAUGUGCAUGAGUAGCUAUUCCUCUGGUUCAAUAUCAUACUAGAAAUAAUCCUUAUUCCUCAAUCAUUGAAUCCAUGGACAUGUAACAUGACAGCUUGGUACCUCCUCACCUAUGUUGUAGCGAAGUAGAUGAUGCAAGAGUUUUAUUGUGUAAGUUGGCAAAUAAGAAGACAAUGAAUGGUCUAUCAACUCGUCUGCCAACUCUCUAACAAUUGGAAUCUUGACAGGAAUUUGAAACAAUCAAUGUGAUGCUAACGUGUUAUCCUGAAUGAUUCUUUCGUAUCACUCGCUGAACAGGCAUAUGUUCCCUUGUUUCUCUGACACAUAGAAUCUUCACAUGUCCGUUUCAUAUAUUAAUAAAGGUCAAUGCUUCAUUAAUUGUCGAGUAAUUCAUUUGCUUUAAGGUAAUGAAAACAUAUAAUUACUGAAUGCCAAUUGUAGACACGCCACAAGAAAAAGGAACGAAAAUUUGCAACAAUUGUUUUGAGUAAAGUGAUUUGUUAUAUUAAUAUACUUUGUUUUUUGAUCAGACUUCUAAAGACAGAUUCUAAUCCAUCUUCAAGAUCUUCAAGAUAGGAAAGACAUGACAGAUCAAAGACUGCAAGAGUAGAUGCUUCAACUUCGGUUAGGAGGCUGGCAUCAACAACAACAUCAUUGUUUUUGUUGGUGUUUCUCUUAAGAUCUGAAAGGCAUUUUAGGAUGACUUUGCAGAUUUUCUUUCUUGAGCUCACAUAUGCGUCAAAUUCAUUUGAUCACCUUCGAAUAGAUGAUUGAAGAUCCUGGGCAGAUUGCUUCAUUUGAGACAAAGCAUCCUUAAUAGUUCCACAAACAUCCAAUAACAUGACAGAUCUGUCCAAGACCGCGUUUUAAGCAUUUUCCAUCUUCGGUAAGAAGGAAAUCCUCAACAGAUUCAUACAAGUCCUUUAGAGCAACCAAGUUGUUGGAAAUGGAUGAGGUGAGAUCUGAAGAUCUCAAUUUGCACAAUUGUUCUUCAACUGCAAAAGUGAAAGGGUCAGAUCUGGUGGGCAAACUGAUGGAGCGAGAAUGGUAAGCAAGUUUGCUGGAGGAAGACAUUUUCGCCUUAUUUAGAAGAAGGUUUAUGAUUAGAUGCACAAGUUAAUGUAGAGAAUUGUGUUUUGAUGGUAAUUACUGAUUCACCUGAUGCUGCUUUUAUAGUCAGGCUACAAGGUUCAUGAGUGGGACAUGUUCAUGUGGUGGAACUUCCUCUAUCUUAUGCAUUGUUCCAACAUUAAUGACAAGUGGUGUGUCCCCUAACGACUGUAUAGUAUCGCUUACAAGUCCUUGAAUAUUUUGCCAUUAACAGAUGUCAGAUGUGUAAUGUAUCAUGUGCAUGAAUGGGACUACUACUAAGAAAGAUCUGUAACAAUAGACACGCUUUGUUGUUUUCUUAUGAGCAAUGUAUCUAUAUUUUCCAACAAUUGAA